rnacentral:siRNA from 1 species
AGGACAUCCAACCAUGUGUGCUGG